UCAUCAAGGACCGACUAAAGACUCUCGC
rnacentral:piRNA from 1 species